AGGGGGGGAGAUGAAUAUUCUGUUCUCUUUCGCUAACUAUAGAUUUUCAUAAUGCUCGCCAUUGCGUCCGAAAUUGCGGCUGCCGAAUGGUCGAAGCCUGUGCCGAAGGAUUGAACGAAAGAGAGAGAGGGAAGGAGGAGAAGGAAUGUAUUGUACUCCGCGGGAAAAAUUUUGCGGGAAAAAUUCGCACACAAAUGAAAAUGUAUGAUAGAAUAUUUCGCAAUAAAGUUUAUAUGUAAAAAUAAAGAAGCUAACCGUACGUGUGUGCGCAAUACGAAUGAAAGGGACAUAAAUUAAUUGCAUCAAAUCGAUAUAAACAAACGGGAGCCGCGAGACCAAUGAAGUGUGUGCCUCUUCGAAACAUUUAAAUGAACGUAUUUAAAGCACCGUGUCGGGCUGUAUCUAUAAAUAGCAAUGAGAGCGGUGAGAUCCGGGAAACAGAGAUCCGGCAUUAGGUGGGGGAUUUUGGAGGAAAAUCCAGUUCGCUGUAACGAAAAUAGAAAAUGGAGAAUAAGUCGCUGGGAAAACAGGAGGAGCGGAAGCGCGAAAAGAGAGAGAGAGAGAGAGAGAGAGAGAGAGAAAGAGAACGCUUUGUCAUUCGGGGAGCGGACAGCGCUUAAAGGAUAUGCAUACGGUUCUUGUUAUCUUGACCACGUUCUGCCUCGCAACGCAUAAUUUCCUAAUGGAUACUAAUGACGUUCCCCGUGUGUGCGCGCGCCCGGUAAUGCGCGUAUUUCUGCUAAUGUAAGAAGUUAAAUGCUCUUAGAAUAACGUGCCUUCUCUCAGCAUCGCUUCGUCGUUUCAGCUCGGAAAAGCGUAUUAUCGUUUGACGAGAGUAACAUGCGGGUCGCGCGAAAUGGAUUUAAAUAAAACUUUUGACUUUAGUUUCCGCUGUCUAAUUAAAUGGCGCGCGACUGUUACAAUACAAUGGAAAUUACCGUGGAGUAAAUUAAUGAAUUUUUAAAACGCACAAUUGAAAUCGCCAUUAUAUUUGUAUGACCAAUUCUGUUCUGGAUUGGACGCCGCUGUUAAUUAAAAUUAUCGGGUUGCGCUCCGUUAAGGAAAGAUUGUUUUUUUAAAAAUCACAGACGGUAAUUUCCUGAACGGUGCCAAAAACCGGAUUAAAGGGAAUCAGAGGAAAAAGAGGAUUACUUUAUUAUCUUCCAACGGAAGACUGUGUAUAAGAGCAAUGUGAUAUUAAGCGCAGAACCUCUCGAGUGUGACGUAAGUAAUGGUGACAAAAGUAUCCUCACCAGCGGUGUGUGUGUGUGUGUGUGUGUGUGUGUGUGACCGCGAAAAGAAAAAUAUUUUCGCACAAGGCAAUCUGUCUCGGUGAUAUUCUUUGUUGGGCGCCUUAUUACUGAUAAUUGAUGAAGCGCCAUCGAUUAUUUUAAAUCUUUUUACCUACCCGUAUUUCUUGCAUCUCCGACAAGUUCCCAACUGAAUGAUAUCAGUUAAUCGUAAUAAAAAUCUUUUGUGGGCAUUUAUAUCAAUAUUGGAAUAAUGGAGCAAGAUGUUAGAAAAAUAAUUCUAAAUAGGUCGCCUGUCUUGGUAUAAAGAUAAACCCUUCUUCAAAUUUAAAAAUAAUGUUGCCUAAUUUGAUAUAAUUUUUUGUAAUUCUAGAAUAUAUGUAUAUAAACGUAGAGAACUAAAAUUUAAUGAAGACUAAAGGAACUCCGACAGACAACGCAGAAUUUAUACAACUCAUUAUCUAUUUGAAAGUUCGAGCUUGUAAUUAGAAAUCUUUUUAGAAUUAGUUCUAAAAUUUGACGUUUAAUUAGUAAUUUCAAAAAUAGAAGUGUACACGUGGCAUCGCUUAAAUCUCGUUUUUCCUAAGCCAUACUAGCACAUCCUGUAAUAACGGCGCUACUACCGCCGUACAGCCAAUCGGAAAUUCUUAAUUAAGUCGCGCGUUCUCUCGCGAUGCGUAUCGUUACGGCUGCGAUAAAAAUAUUUUUCCGGAUGGAAUUAAUUCUAACCCGGUCGGAGGUAUCUUAGUUAUCGGGGAUAAAAACCUUGAGAUGAAAUUAAAUUCCACCUCUGUAUGCAGAAAGCGCUCUUUUUACACAUGACCGGGGCACUGACUUCAUCUACUCGAUAUCGCUGCAACAACGAGGUUACGUCUUUGAGGAGUCUAAGACAUCAAUUUGCAGUUACCGCAGCAACUGCAAUUUUUUAUUUCAAGGUUUGGUAAAAGCUUAUAUUUGAAAUCUUUGAUAAUUAAACUUUACAUUAAAAUCUGUACGCAUUCAAAUUAAGUCGUCUAUUGUGACUUUAAUAUUGUGAUAUCAAUGGAUCCUAAGUUAAUUAUAAAUAUUUAAUACGUAAUUGUAAUCGACACACAAUUAUGGGAUAAAAAAGUUCUUACAAUAAAUUUAAUUUUGAUUAUAAAACUUAUUCAACGUCACACAUAUUGCUAUUAUAAUAUGCCAAAGUACACAAAAGUAGCUCUUUCUGCAACUUUAACGCAAAUUUCGUAAAUUUGUGAUUAGAUCAAUUUAGUGAAUAUUUAUAUUUAGCGUCUGAAAAACUAUGAAAAUGAUUAUCUUUAUAAUUCUUGUGUACUUUUUUUGAAUUAGUGUAAUCGAUAUGUCUCUUAAAUUUGAUUUUUGGUAGAUGAGAAAAAUCGGUAUAACCUUUUCAUUUGGAGCGUACUACAGCUUCCUCCGAUUUGAUUACUUCAGACGUAUCACUCGUUCAUGAUAUCGAUAAAGGGAGUUGCCCCGGCAGUCGAGUCGGUGCCUUACGAUGCCAUGAAAUUCGUACGAUCUGGCUGACAUCUCCUCGACGGCGAGUAUUAUCCAUGCAUCAAGAAAGCCAGCAUACAUUUACUGUAAUGAGAUUUCGAGUAUACCAUCCCCGAUCCCAUUUGUUCGAACGGGAUUCGAAAGCUAUUUCUUUUUACUGCUGGAUCCGUGUUCUAUUAAUUAAAAUAGGCGCACUGUUGUGUCUAUAUACAAUAUAAAAUACGCAGCACACAUUUGUGUCUAUAUAUAAAAAUAGGUCGCAUUUGUGCAAAUAGAGUUCGAUAGCAUGCAAAUGAAUAGCCAGGCAAUGGUAGAUGGGAAUAUUUUCAUUAAGAUUUGAAGGCGAGCGAAAAAUUGAAUUUACCAGAGCAAACUAUCAGUCAAUAAAACCGUUGUACGCACUGCGACGUCACGGAGACGUACGUGGAAAAAAGCAUUUGUUAAAACAACAGGUUAACUGACACAACAGAUUUGUAGUCGUGAUAUACGCCAAUUUUUAAGUAACAAGCUGUUUAAGUCUUACAGCUGAAUAAAAUUAGCGAUUAUAACUAAUAACAUUUGUUAUAACAGCAUACCCGGAAAAAA